GGAAACUUUGCUGUUUUCACCGUUAGUGAGGAGCGGUCAAGGAUGCGUAUUAAGAAAAUAACUAGAAGUGGCCGCAUGAUGUACCUCUCACCAAUGAGAUGCCUGUCAAGGGUAUACGUGGGUCUUUUGAUGCACUAGGCUAGGAUGUUGGCGAAGAGUAGCAUAUGUAUCUUCAAUUUCAACCUAAGCCAAAAAAUAAAAAUAAAUAAGAAGAAGCAUCCCCAAGAGGCAAUGGCAAAUUGAAUAAGCAGGAUCUUAUUCACUGAUUUGAAGAGUUCAUGCAUGGAGCCAGUAGGCGGUACACAUGGGUAAAAACUGGCUGCGGCUAAACAGUUUCAGGGUCAUAUAGCUGUGAGAAUUGCGGUCAUGUACGUGAAGCUUUAUACCUAAGUGUCAGCACAUCAUUAGACAGAAAAGAAAGUUAUAUCACAAGGAAAAGAUUAAGCCCUGGUCACAUCCUGCAUCUUCUUCAGUAAACACUCUGGUUGGAUGACUUGAUGAAAGCCAACAAUCUUUUGAUUUCUCUCUUCACCUAUAUCAGCAGACCCAAAUACAGUUAAUAAAUGGUUAAAGGUUGAUAACCAUCACACCCAUUCCAACAACAUCCAUCCAAAUGGAAGAUGCCUUGAUUGCAACAGUAUCUGGGGAAUAAUGCUACGGGUGACUGAUAAACCCUGUUUUUGAUGAUGUUGAUGUGGAAUCUUUAUUUUAUUUUAUUAGCAUAUAUAAAAACCCAGUUGACAAAAUUUAUGAAAACUUCACACCUCCCUGGCCUAAGAUUUUUCCCUUGGUCUUAUUAAAUUUGAAAGCCACCUGCUUUAGGCUUCAUAAACUUUCACCUUUUAAAAUAACCACAGGCCAUUCUAUGUCCUUAGCUUUCUCUGCUACUGACCCUCAGUUA
rnacentral:lncRNA from 1 species